UUUCAUGUGAUGAUCACAAAAGCCAACAAUCUUUUCUGACUCCUCUAAUGAAUUGUAUAUGAUUCAAAUUAGCUUAUGUAAAAUACUGAAAAA